rnacentral:rRNA from 1 species
UGCAGUUAAAAAGCUCGUAGUCGGAUUUCAUGUAGAGAAGUAUAUUUGGCCCUUUGGGUUACAAAGAAACCAUCUCUGCAUUCUUUUGCUGUUACUGCGUUCUCUCACUUCAUUGUGCGAAACGUAUGUUCGGCAUCUUUUACUUUGAGAAAAUUAGAGUGUUCAAAGCAGACAUUUUUGUCUUGAAUAUUACUCAUGGAAUAAUAAUAUAUGUCUUCGGUCUUCCUUUGUUGGUGUUUGUAGGCUGGAGUAAUGAUUGAUAGGGACAGUUGGGGUCAUUAGUACUUCUUAGCGAGAGGUGAAAUUCUUAGACCUUAGAAAGACUAACUACUGCGAAAGCAUUUGACAAGGAUGUUCCCGUUGAUCAAGAACGAAAGUUGAGGGAUCGAAGACGAUCAGAUACCGUCGUAGUCUCAACCAUAAACUAUGCCAGCUAGGGAUUGGGAGAGGCCUAAAUUUUCAAAGACUCUCUCAGCACCUUAUGAGAAAUCAAAGCAUUUGGGUUCCGGGGGGAGUAUGGUCGCAAGGCUGAAACUUAAAGGAAUUGACGGGAGGGCACCACCAGGAGUGGGGCCUGUGGCUUAAUUUGAUUCAACACGGGAAAACUUACCAGGUCCGGACAUAGUAAGGAUUGACAGAUUGAAGCUCUUUCUUGGUUCUAUGGGUGGUGGUGCAUGCCGUUCUAG